rnacentral:rRNA from 1 species
GGAUAGGAUAUUACAAGCACUAAUGGCCCGGAUCCCCUAAGAACUCCACAGUUAAGUGUGCUUUGGUGAGAGUAGUACUAGGACAGGUGACCUCUUGGGAAGUCCUCGUGUUGCACCCC